rfam:Brachypodium distachyon strain Bd21 chromosome 3, whole genome shotgun sequence.
CAAAUACUCCCUCCGUCCAACAAAGGAUGUCUCAAAUUUGUCAAAAUUUGGAUGUAUCUAGACAUAAUUUAGUGUAUAGAUGCAUUUAAAUUUAGUCAAAGUUGAGCAUCCUUUGUUGGAAGAUGGGAGUAGAAA